CGGUCUGAAAAUUUCAUUACUUUUUUUUCUUAAAUUUUAUUGUAAUUUUGUUUCUCGUCAGGUUUACGUGUUGGUGUACGUGCACGUUUCCAGGCUCGGCCGGUUGAUUUCGACACGCGGGUAUGGGAAUAUAGGUUGCUGCGACAUUAGUUUACAGGCACCGCGGGCUUUUGCGAGGCUGCGUGGUUAGCUAAUUCUCGCGGGUUGCUGGCCAGGGCCCGUUGAGAGGUUGCAACACGCCGUUCCAGAAAAACCUGCUACGCUACGCUAGUCUCUUGUUUGUCGCGCGAGGCUUUUGAGUACGCGUUUCGAGGACUCUGUCCUGAUUAGUGAUGCCAUCUUGCGUCCGAGUUUGGAAACGUAGACGGAAAAAUAACAAUCGAGCAGCGCAAGAGGGAGAGGGGGAAACUCGUGCGCGCCUGCGCGGAAGGAAUAGCUGACUUCACUUGUUUUUUCAUUUUUUUCCUUGUGGGAAGGGAGGGGACCGCGAGUUGCCUUGUGGAUAAGUUUUCCCGGUGUUCGUGUGUUUUUUUUUUGUUUUUCCGGCAUGGCCUAGUUUUGUAGUUAAAACCUCCUUCCAGGGAGGGGCCGAGGCUUUUUGCCUGGGGACCUCUCUGGAAGCCGAGUCCUCGUCGGUUUGAAACAACUUUGCUUCGCCUCAAGUCAGAAGGGUAAGUGGUUGGCCAUGGCUCGUUCGCCACAAUCAUUUCUUGGACGAUCUUCGUCUUAAUCUUUUAAGUAAUAAUGUAGUAUUCCACCUCUAUUAUUUAUUAUUUGGUUUUGGGAAAAAUCGACGUCUGGUUAUAAGCAUGCAGGUAGUGGUAACUGGGAAGUAUACUAUCCUUCCGCGUAGCUGUGACGACGAGAGAACCGCCAUGUUGUAGAGAUAAUUGUUUGCCGGCUGACGUCACUUUAAUGUGUAUUUAAUGUAUUUAUUUAUUCGUUAAUCCCAUCCCAUUGUAAAAUGCUUUAUUAUUAAUUUGUUAAUCAAAUAUUUGGUUGAUUAUUAUUAUUUUUUUUAUUAUCCUAGUGAAUAAAAUCUGUGCUUGAAUGAACUAAUCAUGUUUCUUUUCAGUACAUAAAUUAUACCCUACACUUCCUGUAUAGGGAGAAGACUUGAUCUCGAGUACCAUGCUUACCAACAGCUACCACCCCCCAAAUGUUAUAGGUUAUUUAUUGUUAUGUGUAUAGGUGUACGCGGGACGUCUGACGGAGCCCCGUCACAAGUGGUGUGAGGCUUCGGGUAGUCUCUUGUAGGGUUGUUUGUGCUUUAUUUUUUUUUUCUCUCUUCUCUUGUUCUUCCGAAUUUAAUAAUGUUUUAUUAUAGAGCAGUGCAAGCAGGGUCGUGUGGGAGCACGCGGCGGACGUGUUGCGUUGUGCUUCACGUAUUUUUAUUAGUAAUGUUACUGUUGUUCUGUUUAAAUUUAAUGGAUAAAAAGUUUUUGGUUUAGUUAAGUUAAGUCAGUGAGUCAGUCAGUCAGUCAGUCAGUCAUCGGGUCGUUCAGGUCACCUAUUAGGUUUUAUUAAGUUUUAAUUACGUAAAUUCUAAUGCCGGUUUUUGGUUUAGGAACGAUGUUAAAACUUGUGUUAAGUAAUGUUAUAGACAGUGCUUGUUGCGGACGUGGAAAGUCAUGUGUCGUGGAGCGGUGACGAGCGGCGCGACGGUCAGCUGUGCGCUGACCUUGAGCGGUUUCCGGCCUGGCGCGACACGGCUCGGCACGGCGCGGCAAGAAUCGUUCCGGCCCGGUGUUUACCGGCCGGCUGGACGUCAGACAGAUAAGAGUUUCACAGUUAUUUUUUUUUAAUGAUUAAUUUUAUGUGCGUCAUUGACUACACCACACCGUCUAAUUUUUUUUAUGAGUUAAUUUAAUAAUGUGGAGAGCAAUAAAUUUUAAUAGCAGUUAUUUAUUUGUCAUUAUAAUUAUUUUUGUUUUGAUAAUAAUUAAUUUUUUUUUGAACUUUUCUUUUCGAAUUAUAGGAGGUACACAUUAGAAGGGAUUAGCUCUGAGAAUAGUGUGAGGUUUGUUUAUUUGUGUAGGUUAAGGGAAUGAACUCCAGGGGAACAGUCUUUGAGAUGAGAGAGUUGUUGUGAUUGUCCAGCCAUAGGAGAUGAGCUGGGACAAUUUGAGGUGUCCCUGGGAGAGUAGGGACGGUAGCGCAGACCCAUAGAAGAUGGGCUGGCUACUGGUUAAGGGUCGGGAGAACCCUGUGUUGUUAGUAGUUGGGGCAGGAGUUCCCCAUGGUAGUACCGGAAGUGGCUAUCCCGUACGGGAUAAGGGUACCACUUCAAUUAAUUUGGUUUGUGGGGUUAGAGUCCCCUGUUGUGUAGUGGGCCUAUAGGAGAUAGGCACUACAGCGAAAUUUUUGGUUGCCCUGGAGGUAAAUUCCCUGGGUUAAGUUAAGGAAUUGUUCUUAAAGUUAGGAAGUAGGGAAAUGUGAAUCAUUGUUGGAGAGUGAGUUAGUGUACCUGCCUACGUAUUAAAGUAAAUUUUAUUGAAUUAAUUUAUGAGAAAGUUUAUUGUGUUAAGGAUAAUGGAAGUGAGUUAUUUUUUUUAAAAUUGGUUUUUGAGUAAAGUAUUUUAAGUAAUAAAGUUAAAUAAUAGAGUGAGUGGGGACAGUUAUGAUUGAGUAUUUUUGAAUUUAUUUUGUUUAUCACACUUGGAAUGUAAUGUUCUAAUUUUUUCUCUCAACAUAAUUAAAAUUGAAAUAAUUUUUUUUUAAUACAGUACCCCUUAUACAUUUGUUGAUACAAGUAAUAAAGCAUUUUUUUAUUUAUUUACAAUUUUAUUUUAAUUACAAAAAAAAAUUUGAAUAUAGAUUUGUGAUACAGAGAAAUUUUUUUUUAAUGAGUUGUUUUGUUUGUGCUUGAUUCUAAUCGGUUUUGUAAAAGUAGUGUUACAGUAUUCAGUUCAGUGGUGACCUGGGACUGACUGCAUGACUAAGAAGACUGAGCAUGGUGUUACUGGCUGCACAUCAGAGUGAAUCUGAUGGCACCACCAGUAGCUGUUGUUUCGAGGUGUUGCUGUUUUCACCAGACGAGACCAACCAGCUGCUUGCUGCCUACAGCAUAGCAGAUUUUCACUGGGGAGACAUCCCCGAUGACAUGCUGCGAGGAAGGCAGGCUGAGGGCAGAACUGCUCUGAAGGCUGGAUCCUGGGUGUGAGCUGCAGAUCACACUUCAAGGUCUCUUCUCUCCAGCUUCAACUAGGGCUGAUCUGUCCACGGUUCAUGCCUCUCCUAGUUGUAUGUCGUACGAGUAGUUUUACGAUGUGCCAGCCACCAUCGAUUCUUACAGGAAAGAAUUGUUUCCUGGGCUAUUUUGUAUUUUGUAUUGGUUUAACUUUUUCAGUUUAGACUUUGAAUGUAAUUGUUGUGGUAAAACCUAACCUUCGUGCGCUGUCUUGGUCGAGUAGGCAUUUAACUUAUAAAUUUUUGCCCCUUGGUCUUAUUCAUUGUUAGGAAUUUUUAUGGCUUGUGGGGCACAAGCCCUUGUAGACCGCGGUAAUGUCACGGUCUGAAAAUUUCAUUACUUUUUUUUUCUUAAAUUUUAUUGUAAUUUUGUUUCUCGUCAGGUUUACGUGUUGGUGUACGUGCACGUUUCCAGGCUCGGCCGGUUGAUUUCGACACGCGGGUAUGGGAAUAUAGGUUGCUGCGACAUUAGUUUACAGGCACCGCGGGCUUUUGCGAGGCUGCGUGGUUAGCUAAUUCUCGCGGGUUGCUGGCCAGGGCCCGCUGAGAGGUUGCAACACGCCGUUCCAGAAAAACCUGCUACGCUACGCUAGUCUCUUGUUUGUCGCGCGAGGCUUUUGAGUACGCGUUUCGAGGACUCUGUCCUGAUUAGUGAUGCCAUCUUGCGUCCGAGUUUGGAAACGUAGACGGAAAAAUAACAAUCGAGCAGCGCAAGAGGGAGAGGGGGAAACUCGUGCGCGCCUGCGCGGAAGGAAUAGCUGACUUCACUUGUUUUUACAUUUUUUUCCUUGUGGGAAGGGAGGGGACCGCGAGUUGCCUUGUGGAUAAGUUUUCCCGGUGUUCGUGUGUUUUUUUUUGUUUUUCCGGCAUGGCCUAGUUUUGUAGUUAAAACCUCCUUCCAGGGAGGGGCCGAGGCUUUUUGCCUGGGGACCUCUCUGGAAGCCGAGUCCUCGUCGGUUUGAAACAACUUUGCUUCGCCUCAAGUCAGAAGGGUAAGUGGUUGGCCAUGGCUCGUUCGCCACAAUCAUUUCUUGGACGAUCUUCGUCUUAAUCUUUUAAGUAAUAAUGUAGUAUUCCACCUCUAUUAUUUAUUAUUUGGUUUUGGGAAAAAUCGACGUCUGGUUAUAAGCAUGCAGGUAGUGGUAACUGGGAAGUAUACUAUCCUUCCGCGUAGCUGUGACGACGAGAGAACCGCCAUGUUGUAGAGAUAAUUGUUUGCCGGCUGACGUCACUUUAAUGUGUAUUUAAUGUAUUUAUUUAUUCGUUAAUCCCAUCCCAUUGUAAAAUGCUUUAUUAUUAAUUUGUUAAUCAAAUAUUUGGUUGAUUAUUAUUAUUUUUUUUAUUAUCCUAGUGAAUAAAAUCUGUGCUUGAAUGAA